CAGGGUGACAGCCCCGUACACAAAAAUGCACAUGCUGUGAGCUCGAUGAGUAGGGCGGGACACGUGGUAUCCUGUCUGAAUAUGGGGGGACCAUCCUCCAAGGCUAAAUACUCCUGACUGACCGAUAGUGAACCAGUACCGUGAGGGAAAGGCGAAAAGAACCCCGGCGAGGGGAGUGAAAAAGAACCUGAAACCGUGUACGUACAAGCAGUGGGAGCACGCUUAGGCGUGUGACUGCGUACCUUUUGUAUAAUGGGUCAGCGACUUAUAUUCUGUAGCAAGGUUAACCGAAUAGGGGAGCCGAAGGGAAACCGAGUCUUAACUGGGCGUUAAGUUGCAGGGUAUAGACCCGAAACCCGGUGAUCUAGCCAUGGGCAGGUUGAAGGUUGGGUAACACUAACUGGAGGACCGAACCGACUAAUGUUGAAAAAUUAGCGGAUGACUUGUGGCUGGGGGUGAAAGGCCAAUCAAACCGGGAGAUAGCUGGUUCUCCCCGAAAGCUAUUUAGGUAGCGCCUCGUGAAUUCAUCUCCGGGGGUAGAGCACUGUUUCGGCAAGGGGGUCAUCCCGACUUACCAACCCGAUGCAAACUGCGAAUACCGGAGAAUGUUAUCACG
rnacentral:rRNA from 1 species